rnacentral:lncRNA from 1 species
CCAAAGUGCUGGGAUUACAAACAUGAGCCACUGCGCCUGGCCAUGAAAACUCUUUUCUAUUGAAGAAUGCAGAAUAAAUGAUAACAGAAAAAUCAGCAUUUAAUGACUCAGCAAUAACUGACUUAGGCAAGAAUCAAUAAAAGACACUAAAACGACUGAGUGAAAGAUUCUUAGAGAACGGUAAAUGCUGAAAUCUAGAAGAUACUGCCUUAACCAAACUAUUAAGCCAAACCUCACCAAUAACAGGACAGCUGACACCGUGCUCCCCUGGUGUGGUUCACUGAGGACAACGCUACCUACUUACCUAGGAAGCACUCUUGCCAAAAAAAAAAAAAGUAACUAGAAUAUAAUCAGGAAGAAACUCCUGGCAAACCCAAAUUGAGAAAUAUUCUGCCAAAGAGUUGGCCUUGAUUCUUCAAAAAUGUCAAUGUCUGCCAGGCGCUGUGACUCACGCCCAUAAUGCCGGCACUUUGGGAGGCCGAGGUAAAAGUAUCGCUUGAGCUCAGGAGUUUGAGACCAGCCUGUACAACAUGCUGAAACCGCAUCUCUGCUAAAAAUACAAAAAAUUAGCCAGGUGUGGUGAUGCAGGCCUAUAGUCCCAGCUACUUGGGAGGCUGAGAUGGGAGAAUCACCUGAGCCCAGGAAGUCAAGGCUGCAGUGAUUUAUGAUCUGAUCACUGCCUUCCAGCCUGGGUGACAGAAUGAGACCCUAUCUCAAAAAAAAUUAAUUAAUUAAUUAAAAUAAAAUAAAAAUAAAAAAAGUCAAUGUCAUAAAAGACAAAGAAAGGCUGAAGAAGUGAUUCAGCCCGUGAUCCUUGACUGGAUCCUGGGUGAAAGCAAAAGCAGCUCUAAAGGACACUUUGCAGACUAAAUGUUAGCUAACACCAUUGUAUCAGUGAGAAAGUGCAGAGUGUGGUGAGUCCAUUGAGGCUCUGUAGAAGAAAGUCCUUGUUCUUUUUGUUUGUUUGUUUUUGAGACGGCGUCUCACCCCAUUGCCCAGGUUGGAGUACAAUGGCACAAUCUUGGCUCACUGCAAACCUCCACCUCCCGGGUUCAAGCGAUUCUCCUGCCUCAGCCUCCCGAGUAGCUGGGAUUACGGGUGCGUGCCACCAUGCCCAGCUAAUUUUUUGUAUCUUUAGUAGAGACGGGGUUUCACCAUUCUGGCCGGGCUGGUCUCGAACCUCGUGAUCCACUCGCCUCAACCUCCCAAAGUGCUGGGAUUACAGGCGUGAGCCACUGUGCCCAGCCGAAAGCCCUUGUUCUUAGGAGGUGUUUGCUGAAAAGUCCCAUGAUGUAUAUAACAAACUUGCAAGUGGCUUAACGAAAAAUUUGUGUUUAGGAUUUUUUUUCUUUUUUUUUUGAGAUGGAGUCUCGCUCUAUCACCCAGGCUGGAGUGCAGUGGUGCCAUCUUGGCUCACUGCAGCCUCCGCUUCCCAGGUUCAAGCAAUUCUCCUGCCUCAGCCUCCCGAGUAGCUGGGAUGACAUGCACCUGCCACCAUGCCCGGCUAAUUUUUGUAUUUUUGUAGAGACAGGGUUUCACCACAUUGGCCAGGCUGGUCUUGAACUCUUGACCUCAGGUGAUCUGCCAGCCUCAGCCUCCCAAAGUGCUGGGAUUACAGGUGUGAGCCACCGUGCCCGGUGGUUUAGGAAUUUUUUUUUUUAAUGAAGGUGGGGGAAUGGCCACUGUGAAAGAAAAAUAAAUCUCAACUCCAAAAUCACUAAGCUAAGGGAAAAGUCAAGCUGGGAACCUGCCUCCCAUUUUAAUUCCUGAAUAAGAUGGCUAUAAAGAUAAAACAGCUACAUGCCUCCCUCACAAUUUGCCCACAAGGAAAUUCCUUGUGGGCCUCAAGAUCUUUACCCUACUCAGGAUCAUGCCAAGAAUUAAAAAAAAAAACAAAAAACAAAACUUUACCCUGAAACAUUUCUGUUGAAUUCAUCCUGGCAAUGUAAACUGAUAGCUGAUCUUAACAGGUGCAGGACAGAAAAUCAUUCCUCUGCUCACCUGAGAGAAAUGCUUAUCUGAUUGCUUCCUCAGACCUACUGUGUAUGUAAAAAUGAAGAUUCACUGAGCCAGACUAGAUUGUGAAUUCACUGAAAGGCUGAUCAAGGACUCAAAAGAAUGCAAGCUUUUGUCUCUUAUCUACCUAUGACCUGGAAGCCCCCCUCUUCGAGUUGUCCUGUGUUACUGGAUGGAACCAAAGUAUAUCUUACAUAUAUUAAUUGAUGUCUCAGGUCUCCCUAAAAUGCACAAAAGCAAGCUGUACCCCAGCCACCUUGGGGACGUGUCGUCAGGACCUGUUGGCAAAAUAAACUUUUAAAUUGCUUGAGACCUGUCUCAG